rnacentral:piRNA from 1 species
UCCUUUGGCACUUAGACCUGUAGGCCAGGA